GUAAGGGAUAAGCCACCGAAAGGUGGUCUAAUACCUUAUAGUAUCCAUCUCGUAUGGAUUAAAGCUUUCGCGCUUCGGGAGGGGCCUGCGCAACAUUAGCUAGUUGGUGAGGUAAAAGCUCACCAAGGCGACGAUGUUUAGCUGGUUUGAGAGGAUGAUUAGCCACACUGGGACUGAGAUACGGCCCAGACUCCUACGGGAGGUAGCAGUAAGGAAUAUUCCACAAUGGGGGAAACCCUGAUGGAGCAAUACCGCGUGCAGGAAGACGCUUUUCGGAGUGUAAACUGCUUUUAUCUACCAAGAUUAUGACGGUAGUAGAUGAAUAAGGACCGGCUAACUACGUG
rnacentral:rRNA from 1 species